GCUGCCAUUAGAAUAUAACUCACAACUUCAGCUAGACUGGCAGUAUUAUUAAUUUUUGUGGAUGUGACAUUGAGUAGAAGAGAAAAACAGCCACACCUGUGUCCACACCUACAGAGUAUGUGUAGUACCAACUUGACACUGCAAUAUUCUUGAAAAUCCUGUGGGCCCACAGGAUGGAAGCAUCAGAGCAUGGGACUGGUAUCUCAGUGGAACAUGAGACACAUGACCUGUAACAAGAAGGCUUUGUCCUCUGUGCAACAGCAGCCAGAUCAGUGAGUAACUGAAGAAGGCAACCUGCUGAUUGUAACACAGCAUGGGAAACAACAUGUUGAGAUUGCACCUGCGUCUUGUGAAAGUCACAUUGCACCUCUCAGGAGUAAUGCUGAAUCCUUAAGGUGGCACUGUGUGUACCAGCACUGAUGUUCUGCAAGGACUAGAAGAAACUUCUGAGGGAAGCACACUGGUCAAGGCUGCCAUGUAUGGAACUGUGAGUAUGAAGACAGACCAGGGCACCAGACCACCUGCAAUAGCAAUGAUCAGUUCCAUGGAGAAAGCUUGGAGAAAGCUGUUCCAUAGAAACUUUUAGAUGAACACUCAAUGAAAAGAAAGUCAUCUUGCUCCUCAGUGUGACUGCAUGAAAAUCUACUGGGACAAGUUCACAUGAAUAACUGGCACAGAGGCAAGCAUGGAUCGUAAUUUUAUGUGUUCUUAAGUGGCUUAGCUUUUCUGGUGCAACUUUGUUUUGGGAUCAGUGCUCAGUAAUAUGUAUAGGUCUCUACAUUUGCUUGAAAAGCCUCAUGUUACAUUACUGAAACAACAGGCAAAAGACUCACUGACAAUAGCUUUAUUCAACCUUGCUGAAAAUGUUAAGUCCUGUAACAAUAAAGGCUUAACUGUUCUACAGGCUGGCCAACUGGUCUUUGCAUACUACAGGAAACAAUUGCAGGCAUUUAGCAUUUCAGGACAUAUAAGCCAGAACUACUCAGGGAUGCAGGAUGUGAAUAUAUACCCCUGGUGCUUCCACGCUGUUUGUGGAAUGGCAGAAAAGCACAUUCCAUUAGUCCAUGUUGGCAACCUCAUCUUGGAAAAUUACAUAUAUUGCAG
rnacentral:lncRNA from 1 species